GGUUCCAUACUGUAGCGGUUAGCACGUCUGCUUUUCACACAGAAGGUCCUGGGUUUAUGCCUCAGUGGAGCCA
rnacentral:tRNA from 1 species